UCACAUAAACUGUGCAAAAGCCAGGUAUGACUUUGGACACCGCGGUUGGGACAUCCAUCGUCUUGAAUCUUUGAAGUAAAAAAUGUGCGCCCACCACCAGAAUCUCUAUGACAUUGGCUGUAACAUAGUCACUUAUGGAGGUCGCUAUGUCUAUGCCUUCAAUUACAACUUCAUUGACUUGAAUCUACGACAAAGAGAGGUAAGAUGAUUCAGAAAAUGAAACGACAUCUGCAAGAACACGAGGAAGAUUGAACGCGUAAGCAGCAACGUGCACUUACAUUCUUACGGUUGCAGAAGCAUCGGAAAGGUAAGAACAACUCCUUUGCUUGACUAUCAGGAUCACUUCUAUAUACUCUGGGAGUUCCAUCACUCACAUCUGAGAAAGGAACGUUGUUCGAAUAAUAGGUUUAAAGCCAGAGGUGGAUAUAGGCUUUGAAUAAUAGGUUCAACUGAACUUAAUAUUCUCGACAUGAAACAUAGAUAUAUAUGUAGAAAGAAAUCACUUUAGUUUUAAUAAAUAUUAAAUUCUAAAUUCAUAA